GUCCUGGUUGCUCAGUGGUUAAAGCACUCAGCUGUUACCUGAAAGGUCAGUGGUUCGAACCACUCCAUGGUA
rnacentral:tRNA from 1 species